UCGGGUUGUAAAGCACUUUUGUCCGGAAAGAAAACUUCGGGGCUAAUACCUCUGGAGGAUGACGGUACCGGAAGAAUAAGCACCGGCUAACUACGUGCCAGCAGCGCGGUAAUCGUAGGGUGCGAGCGUUAAUCGGAAUUACUGGGCGUAAAGCGUGCGCAGGCGGUCUGUUAAGACAGAUGUGAAAUCCCCGGGCUUAACCUGGGAACUGCAUUUGUGACUGGCGGGCUAGAGUAUGGCAGAGGGGGGUAGAAUUCCACGUGUAGCAGUGAAAUGCGUAGAGAUGUGGAGGAAUACCGAUGGCGAAGGCAGCCCCCUGGGCCAAUACUGACGCUCAUGCACGAAAGCGUGGGGAGCAAACAGGAUUAGAUACCCUGGUAGUCCACGCCCUAAACGAUGUCAACUAGUUGUUGGGGAUUCAUUUCCUUAGUAACGUAGCUAACGCGUGAAGUUGACCGCCUGGGGAGUACGGUCGCAAGAUUAAAACUCAAAGGAAUUGACGGGGACCCGCACAAGCGGUGGAUGAAGGUGGAUUAAUUCGAUGCAACGCGAAAAACCUUACCUACCCUUGACAUGGUCGGAACCCUGGUG
rnacentral:rRNA from 1 species